UCCUUUAACCCCCAAAGACCAAUACAUUUGUGUGUUACCCUAUAUUUAGAUUUCAAUGGCUUCUGCCAAGCCGUUUACCAGAAGGGGAUGUAUUGUUAACAGCUUAUGGUGUGGUACAUACGGACUCUAGUGAGCAUGUCUGGAUGGGAUUGGGGAACAGACUUAGCCUGUGUGAGUAUAAAUUGCAGCGAACGGGGGGACUUCAAUGUCAUUAACGGAAGAAUAGGAGAAGUGCAGAUCACAAAAUGAAGAAAGAUAUACUUUUCUGUGCAAUGCUUAUGUUAGCAGCUCAAGCCUCUUGUCAAAGACGUGGAUUGGAAGCUGAUAUAACGGCAAUAGCUAACGCAGCAACAGGGGUCAUUUCAGAUAACCCAGAUGAAACGACCUUCGUGAAAAUAGUGCUCAUGCUCAAAAAUAUUGUUGAUUAUGAUCCAAAGAGUAACAUUUUCGAAAUCACAGCUUGGUUCCAGACAACAUGGACUGAUAGUAGAUUUGCAUGGAAACCAUCUGAUUAUGGUAAUAUAACUAAAAUAAGUAUACCGUGUGCCGGUGUUGCGAAACCAGAUAUUAAACUCCACAACGGUGUACGAUCUGGUUUAACGGUUGAUGUAGAUGUCAACUGUGUUAUUAGUCAUACUGGCGAAGUAGCAUACAUACCCAUAGCAAAUAUUAAAGUCUACUGUACCGGCGAUCCUACAGAUGACACGCAUAUAUGUCCCAUAAUACUUGGAUCUUGGACACACGAUUGCGAUGAAUUGAAUAUUUCCCGAGUUGAUGAUAUGCUUGUUCUGACUGAAUACAACCUUGGUUGGAGAUUUAGGAUAUUAGAACAUUCAUCAGAGGUUGUCGAAGAAAAAUAUGAGUGCUGUCCUGAACUGUACUGUGAGGCUGUCAUUAAAUUGAAAUUCCAAGACAGAACGAGAACACCAGGUUCAAAAUGGUACUCCGCACAUGACUUAAAAUAGACCCAUGGAAUGUAUUUCGCAAUAAGUAAUUGACAGUUGUUUAAAUUGUUUUUAAAUUUUGAAAAUCAGAAGAUGGACAAGCAUACAUGAAGAUUUUCCUUCGAAGCCUCCGAAACUUUAUUUUGUAUCUUAAGUAUGAUAUUAUUUGUCACAUAGUCACUAAACUAGGUUAUGUAAUUAAGGUGUCGCGUGCGCCUUAGAUCGUAAGUUCUGUCAAGUGGUUUGUACGUGACAACUUGUGUCGAGUGGACGUUUAACCAUCUCUCUUCAACAUACCAAGUUUGACAUUUCUUAUAAGUUUAUAACCCACAACAUAUGGAAUAACGAUCUAAUUUAAUAUUUAUUUUAAAUUUUCUGUAGUUUCCUAAUCCUAUCUGGAUUAUUGUCCUUAUUUUAUGUCUUUAUAAAUACACUUUCACAGUAAGAUGUCUUCAGCAUACCUGUUUUGCAUUUCUUGUAGGGGUAUUACGUAUUCUAUUUUGUGUAAUUACAUAGCUUAAUAAUUCCGAUUAGUUCCUAAAUCGAUAUUUUAUUAACCUUUUGGCGUUAUCUUGUCCGGAUUAUCGCCCUUUUUAUUGCAUUGUCAAAUUUUGACGUCAGCAGACACUGGCUUUCCAGAGGGUUUACAUUUUCUCAUUUGCUUUUUUGACUUCAGUAUUGUUUGUUUUUUACUCUUUUUUUGGUAAAUGGAACAUAUACCAUAACUAUAUUCAAUGUACCAUAACUAUAUUCAAUAUACCUCGAUUCUAUUGAAUACUAAUAAAAUGUUUCUCAAUUGA